rnacentral:rRNA from 1 species
ACGAACGCUGGCGGCGUGCUUAACACCUGCAAGUCGAACGGAAAGGCCCUGCUUUUGUGGGGUGCUCGAGUGGCGAACGGGUGAGUAACACGUGAGUCACCUGCCCUUGACUUUGGGAUAACUUCAGGAAACUGGGGCUAAUACCGGAUAGGAGCUCCUGCUGCAUGGUGGGGGUUGGAAAGUUUCGGCGGUUGGGGAUGGACUCGCGGCUUAUCAGCUUGUUGGUGGGGUAGUGGCUUACCAAGGCUUUGACGGGUAGCCGGCCUGAGAGGGUGACCGGCCACAUUGGGACUGAGAUACGGCCCAGACUCCUACGGGAGGCAGCAGUGGGGAAUAUUGCACAAUGGGCGGAAGCCUGAUGCAGCAACGCCGCGUGCGGGAUGACGGCCUUCGGGUUGUAAACCGCUUUCGCCUGUGACGAAGCGUGAGUGACGGUAAUGGGUAAAGAAGCACCGGCUAACUACGUG